GUCUAUGGCCAUACCACCUUAAACGUGCCCAAUCUUGUCUAAUGUCAGAAGUUUAGCAGGACUGGGGCUGGUUAAUACUUGGAUGGGAGACUGCCUGGGAAUACUAGGUGCUAUAGGCU
ensembl:rRNA 5S_rRNA 5S ribosomal RNA